rnacentral:rRNA from 1 species
CUACGGGGGGCAGCAGGCGCGAAACCUUUACAAUGCACGCAAGUGUGAUAAGGGGAUCCUAAGUGCUCAUACAUUGUAUGGGCUUUUGCCAAGUGUAAAUAACUUGGAGAAUAAGUGGUGGGUAAGACUGGUGCCAGCCGCCGCGGUAACACCAGCGCCACGAGUGGCAACCACGUUUAUUGGGCCUAAAGCGUCCGUAGCCGGCUAGGUAAAUCUUUUGUGAAAUCGUCAAGCUCAACUUGACGGCGCGCUUGAGACACUGCCUUGCUUGAGACCGGGAGGAGUCAGAGGUAUUCCAGGGGGAGCGGUAAAAUGUGAUAAUCCCUGGAGGAUCACCUAUGGCGAAGGCAUCUGACCAGAACGGAUCUGACGGUGAGGGACGAAGGCUGGGGGAGCGAUCCGGAUUAGAUACCCGCGUAGUC